rnacentral:rRNA from 1 species
UACGAAGGGGGCUAGCGUUGUUCGGAUUUACUGGGCGUAAAGCGCACGUAGGCGGACUAUUAAGUCAGGGGUGAAAUCCCGGGGCUCAACCCCGGAACUGCCUUUGAUACUGGUAGUCUUGAGUUCGAGAGAGGUGAGUGGAAUUCCGAGUGUAGAGGUGAAAUUCGUAGAUAUUCGGAGGAACACCAGUGGCGAAGGCGGCUCACUGGAUCGAUACUGACGCUGAGGUGCGAAAGCGUGGGGAGCAAACAGG